rnacentral:rRNA from 1 species
UUCGCAGGCGGUCUCUUAAGUUAGAUGUGAAAGAUCACGGCUCAACCGUGGUAAGCAUUUAAAACUGGGAGACUUGAGUUAAGGAGAGGAAAGUGGAAUUCCUAGUGUAGCGGUGAAAUGCGUAGAUAUUAGGAGGAAUACCAGUGGCGAAGGCGACUUUCUGGACUUAUACUGACGCUGAGGAACGAAAGCGUGGGGAGCAAACAG